AAAGCGUGCGUAGGCGGUUUGAUAAGUCGAUUGUGAAAGCCCCGGGCUUAACCUGGGAAUUGCAGUUGAUACUGUCAGACUAGAAAACGGUAGAGGGAGGCGGAACUCCAGGUGUAGCGGUGAAAUGCGUAGAUAUCUGGAAGAACACCGAUGGCGAAGGCAACCUCCUGGGCCUGUUUUGACGCUGAGGCACGAAAGCGUGGGUAGCAAACAGGAUUAGAUACCCCUGU
rnacentral:rRNA from 1 species